rnacentral:rRNA from 1 species
AACGAACGCUGGCGGCAUGCCUAACACAUGCAAGUCGAACGAGACCUUCGGGUCUAGUGGCGCACGGGUGCGUAACGCGUGGGAACCUGCCCUUAGGUUCGGAAUAACUCCCCGAAAGGGGUGCUAAUACCGGAUAAUGUCUUCGGACCAAAGAUUUAUCGCCUUUGGAUGGGCCCGCGUUGGAUUAGCUAGUUGGUAGGGUAAAAGCCUACCAAGGCGACGAUCCAUAGCUGGUCUGAGAGGAUGAUCAGCCACACUGGGACUGAGACACGGCCCAGACCCCCACGGGAGGCAGCAGGGGGGAAUAAUGGACAAUGGGCGGAAGCCUGAUCCAGCAAUGCCGCGGGAGUGAUUAAGGCCUUAGGGUUGUAAAGCUCUUUUACCCGGGAUGAUAAUGACAGUACCGGGAGAAUAAGCUCCGGCUAACUCCGU